CUUAACUUCCAGGAAAAGCGCUCAGUAGUUUCUAUGCUCCAGGUCCGCUACCCGGUGAAACUCGACUUCCAGGACUAGCGCUCCGUGGUUCCUUGACUCCGGGUACGCUACCUGGUGAAACUCGUCUUCCUGGACAAGCGCUCCGUAGUUUCUGCGCUCUAGGUCCGCUACCUGGUGAAACUCGACUUUCAGGACAAGCGCUCCGUAGUUUCUGGUUAGCGGUCGUUGAAGGUGGUUGCGGGUGAUCGAGGCGAACGAGAAUUUGUGCGCGGUAUAACCCGAGGUGGUUAGCUGUGGUCGUUGGAGGUGGUUGGCGGUGGUUGGAGAUGGUCGAAGGUGGUUAGAGGUGGUUAUGGGUGAUUGUGCGGGACAAGGAGAAAGACAAGGACGAGAAGGACGCGGAUUUAUGCAUGGUAUAACUCGAGGUGGUCGGCGGU